AACGUGGGUGGUUCGCCGCCCGCGACGUCGCGAGAAGUCCAUUGAACCUUAUCAUUUAGAGGAAGGAGAAGUCGUAACAAGGUUUCCGUAGGUGAACCUGCGGAAGGAUCAUUG
rnacentral:rRNA from 3 species